UACGUGGGGUGCAAACGUUGCUCGGAAUCAUUGGGCGUAAAGCGCACGUAGGCGGCGUUCUAAGUCGGAUGUGAAAGCCCUGGGCUUAACCCAGGAAGUGCAUCCGAAACUAGUUCGCUUGAGUCUCAGAGAGGGUUGCGGAAUUCCCGGUGUAGAGGUGAAAUUCGUAGAUAUCGGGAGGAACACCAGUGGCGAAGGCGGCAACCUGGCUGAAGACUGACGCUGAGGUGCGAAAGCGUGGGGAGCAAACAGGAUUAGAUACCCUUGUAGUCCACGCCGUAAACGAUGAGUGCUAGACGUUGCCGGUAUUGACCCUGGCAGUGUCGAAGCUAACGCGUUAAGCACUCCGCCUGGGGAGUACGGCCGCAAGGCUAAA
rnacentral:rRNA from 1 species